AGAGUUUGAUCCUGGCUCAGGAUAAACGCUGGCGGCGCACAUAAGACAUGCAAGUCGAACGAACUUAAUCGUUAGUUUACUAAUGAAGCGGUUAGUGGCGGACUGGUGAGUAACACGUAAGCAACCUGCCUAUUAGAGGGGAACAACAGUUAGAAAUGACUGCUAAUACCGCAUAUGCCAUAAGUAUCGCAUGAUACAAGUGGGAAAGGAGCAAUCCGCUAAUAGAUGGGCUUGCGUCUGAUUAGAUAGUUGGUGGGGUAACGGCCUACCAAGUCGACGAUCAGUAGCCGAGUUGAGAGACUCUACGGCCACAUUGGGACUGAGAUACGGCCCAGACUCCUACGGGAGGCAGCAGUCGGGAAUAUUGCGCAAUGGAGGAAACUCUGACGCAGUGACGCCGCGUGCAGGAAGAAGGUUUUCGGAUUGUAAACUGCUUUAGACAGGGAAGAAAAAGACAGUACCUGUAGAAUAAGCUCCGGCUAACUACGUGCCAGCAGCCGCGGUAAUACGUAGGGAGCAAGCGUUAUCCGGAUUUAUUGGGUGUAAAGGGUGCGUAGACGGGAAAAUAAGUUAGUUGUGAAAUCCCCAUGCUUAACAUGGGAACUGCAACUAAAACUGUUUUUCUUGAGUGCUGGAGAGGAAAGUGGAAUUCCUAGUGUAGCGGUGAAAUGCGUAGAUAUUAGGAGGAACACCAGUGGCGAAGGCGACUUUCUGGACAGUAACUGACGUUGAGGCACGAAAGUGUGGGGAGCAAACAGGAUUAGAUACCCUGGUAGUCCACACCGUAAACGAUGGAUACUAGGUGUAGGGUGUGAUAAACGCUCUGUGCCGUCGCAAACGCAGUAAGUAUCCCACCUGGGGAGUACGGCCGCAAGGUUGAAACUCAAAGGAAUUGACGGGGGCCCGCACAAGCAGUGGAGUAUGUGGUUUAAUUCGACGCAACGCGAAGAACCUUACCAGGGCUUGACAUAUACAGGAAUAUGCUAGAGAUAGUAUAGCUCUUCGGAGUCUGUAUACAGGUGGUGCAUGGUUGUCGUCAGCUCGU
rnacentral:rRNA from 1 species